AGAAUAUAGAUCCUUUGCAGAAUCCUGAAGAGGGACUUAGAUGCUGUUGAAGAAGUUGCAACAUCUGCUACCAUGAGACUGAGAACUGAAAUGACUAGGCAACUUCUCAUGAUGCAUGAUAAUAUGAGAUGUGCUUCCAAUCAUUUGACUCCUCGAGUGCUAGAGAUGACUUUGGAUUCAAGUUGAAGAGCUUGCAGCAGAAACAAAAAACCUUGUCAGUCAACUUGUCACAACUGCUUGCCUUUUUGUUAUUUGUGAAUUGAAGACCGAUGAGCAUGGCUCUCCUGGAACUUUCCCCACAAUCAGUUAUCAGAUUCAAAGAGCAAGGGCUCAUUGGACAUAUUUCCAUAUACAAAACAAACGGAAUGGGAAAAUUAAAUGAUCUAAUGUAACAAAGGAACAAAAUGAAAUUAUUUCUUGCCAUAUUCUUUGUUUGUCUAUUCUUAACUACCAUCUCAGGGAAGUGUAAAUUAAAAGUUGAAAUGAUUUAUUUCAGAAACUAAAUAAAUAGAGCCCACUGCUGCUUUUUCA
rnacentral:lncRNA from 1 species